UCAAUUAAGUAUUCGUUAUCGAGGUAUCUGUAGUUACGCAAUUAGUAUUAUCUAGGUGGUAAAAAGGGUGCGAUGAUCGAUGAACAAUUAAAAUAUCGUUAGACUCACCAAUGUCAUUUUUCCCGACAGCCGAGUACAAUGCUUUUGAACUUGAAAAGAAAACAUCGGCAUCUUGUACGUGAUUCACCCUAACGUAUGAAUUCAAAUUAUAUCAGCCUUUUGAGAUGACACUUCACCUCUGUCAAGAUAUACACAUACAUUGCUCCGAAACGAAUUAUUAUAUUUACGGUGAAAGUGGCUUCUAAUACAGGAUAUUGGGGAAAUAGGGGAGGUCGUUCUUCGUUUCAUUUCCUAUGCUACGAAGUGGACGAACAAAAUAGAAUUGAUUUCCAGCUGGUCUCAGAAGAUGCUUGUGCCCUUUCUCGUGCCGUUUCACUUGGAGUUUCGCCCGUCCGGUUGGUUUUUUCUAAGAAAAAAAUACGCAUUCGUACAGGGAAGAUAAGAAACACGUGAUAAAGCCAUAUAAUCAAGUGAACAAUACCUUUUCUACACGGAAAGUCAUUUCUCUGUUACCACGAGAACCAGAAAAUUUAACAUCACGGAAUUCUUGACCCCUCAGUCGGUCUCCCAGAGUGGCCCUACAAAAAUACGAACAUGAGAGACUCUUGUCUACCGUUGCUCUAUUACGAUUUGGGUAGACGUACUUGUUUCGCUUGUUUGCGAUCGGCUUGGCGUCUUUAAACUGUACAUGAUCUUUAAUUUCAUAAAGUCGAGAACGAUCCUCGGUAGUUUCAUCAUC